CACGAGGCUUGUCCAGGCUCCAGCGAUGCAGGUUGCCGUUGAUUGGUUGCCUGCAUGUUGGCCAGAGCCUGGCUCGGCGCAUGCAAAAGGCACCGGUGAGCCUGGCUCCCGGGAAACGAAAAUGAAAUCCGUUUCUCGCCGGCCAGGCUCGCUGGAUGCAGGCAGCUGCUAGCUAAUCAUGAUAUUUAAUAGGUGAUUAGCAUAUAUUAAGUGAGAUUAGUGUUUUUUAAAAGUGAUUAAGAUUUAAUGAGGUAAAGUAAGAACUAUUAAAAUAUUUUACACAAUAUAAAUAUCAUAAUGAUACUUGGUUGUAGUAUUUUAUCUCAUGCAAUAUAUUCUCGUGCGAGCAACCAAACAACUUCUAUUCACGACCUGACCAGAUUAAUGCGUGCAACCAAACAAACUCAUAUUGUAUUC
rnacentral:lncRNA from 1 species